AUUGAACGCUGGCGGCAGGCCUAACACAUGCAAGUCGAGCGAGAGGCGGACGGGUGAGUAAUGUAUGGGGAAAUGCCUGAUGGUGGGGGAUAACCACUGUAAACGGUAGCUAAUACCGCAUACCAUCAGAUGAACCAAUAUGGGUUUAGCUAGUAGGUAAGGUAGUGGCCUACGUAGGCGACGUUCCCUAGCUGGUCUGCGAGGAUGAACAGCCACACGGGCACUGAGACACGGCCCAGAAUCCUACGGGAGGCAGCAGUGGUGAAUAUUGCGUAAUGGGCGGAAGCCUGAUGCAGCCAUGCCGCGUGUAUGAAGAAGGCCUUCGGGUUGUAAAGUACUUUCAGUCGGGAGGCGUUACCGACAGAAGAAGCACCGGCUAACUCCGUGCCAGCAGCCGCGGUAAUAC
rnacentral:rRNA from 1 species